GCUGGCGGCAUGGAUAAGGCAUGCAAGUCGAACGGUAGACAGGUCUUCGGACCUGUUGAGAGUGGCGAAAGGGUGAGUAACGCGUGAGCAACUUGCCCCGAAGUUUGGGAUAGCCCCGGGAAACCGGGAUUAAUACCGAAUGUGGCGCAUUCUUUUAUGGGAAUGUAGCUAAAGAUUUAUUGCUUCGGGAUGGGCUCGCGUCCGAUUAGCUAGUUGGUAAGGUAACGGCUUACCAAGGCGAUGAUCGGUAGGUGGUCUGAGAGGAUGGUCACCCACACUGGGACUGAGACACUGCCCAGACUCCUACGGGAGGCUGCAGUCGAGAAUCUUCCGCAAUGCGCGAAAGCGUGACGGAGCGAUGCCGCGUGGAGGAUGAAGGCCCUCGGGUCGUAAACUCCUGUCACCCGGGAUGAAUAUUUGACAGUACCGGGAGAGGAAGCCACGGCUAACUACGUGCCAGCAGCCGCGGUAAUACGUAGGUGGCGAGCGUUAUUCGGAUUUAUUGGGCGUAAAGGGUUCGUAGGGGGUUUGUUAAGUUUGGUGUGAAAUGCCAGGGCUCAACCUUGGAAGUGCACUGGAAGCUGGCAGACUUGAGGACUGGAGAGGAAAGCGGAAUUCCUGGUGUAGCGGUGGAAUGCGUAGAUAUCAGGAAGAACACCGAUUGCGAAGGCAGCUUUCUGGACAGUACCUGACCCUGAUGGACGAAAGCUGGGGGAGCGAACAGGAUUAGAUACCCUGGUAGUCCCAGCCGUAAACGUUGUGCACUCGAUGUGGGAGGUUUUGAUCCCUUCCGUGUCCAAGCUAACGCGUUAAGUGCACCGCCUGGGGAGUACGGCGGCAACGCUAAAACUCAAAGGAAUUGACGGGGGCCCGCACAAGCGGUGGAGCAUGAGGCUUAAUUCGAGGCAACGCGAAGAACCUUACCUGGGUUUGACAUAUAAGCGACCGCCGGUGAAAGCCGGUUUCUCUUCGGAGCGCUUAUACAGAUGCUGCAUGGCUGUCGUCAGCUCGUGUCGUGAGAUG
rnacentral:rRNA from 1 species